UACGGAGGGUGCGAGCGUUAAUCGGAAUUACUGGGCGUAAAGCGCGCGUAGGCGGUGGGCUAAGUCCGCUGUGAAAGCCCUGGGCUCAACCUGGGAACGGCAGUGGAUACUGGACUACUAGAGUGUGAUAGAGGGUGGUGGAAUUCCCGGUGUAGCGGUGAAAUGCGUAGAGAUCGGGAGGAACACCAAUGGCGAAGGCAGCCACCUGGGUCAACACUGACGCUGAGGUGCGAAAGCGUGGGGAGCAAACAGG
rnacentral:rRNA from 1 species